AGGUUGCAUCCGUAGAGGAAGCAGUGCAGGCUGAUGAGCGCGAACAUGCUGCAGACGAGCAAAGGAACGAACAUCUACGGUCAUGUCGAGGUAGGUGAAUCUGAUGUAUGAACUCUGCGCGCCUACCUACGAGGAAGGUGAUCAUGUGGGUGUUCUUGGGCUGCUGCGGGUUGAGGUUGUAGAUGAUGUUGAAGUGUACUUCAAAAACGUUGAACUGUAAGAUGAUGAUACCUUGUCAGACGUGCUGAACGACGAUCUCUUCACCUCC